AUGCUUGGAGUUAAGUAUUGAUUUAUCGAUCCUUCUACUCUGCUCUUCCUUCAAUUGGAUCUAUGGUGGGUCAGUCCAUCUUCUGUCCUUCGUUGCCUGCCUCGCUGUAUUUUUCGGUGCCUCCUCUACCCAAUAUGUGUCGCUAUCUCCAAUAGAUUUGUAAAUGGCCAACAAAUAGGUUGCCUUAUUUCCUUCUUUUUGCACGAAUCUGUACUCACACAGGCUGAAACCCUUUGCUAGUUGUAGGGCUUCCCAAAUGAGCGCACUUAUUUCUGAAUAAUGGGGUUUGGAUGUGGCUAGCUUCUUCAUUACCGAUCUUGAAUCCCCUUCCAUAAUCACUCGUCUAAAACCUAAAUCGAGUGCUAGUUGGAGCGCAUGCCCUUCUGCGGUGGCCUCUAUUGCAAAUGCUGAUGGUACUCUCAAGACUCCAUCUCACAACACUUGCUAGCACAGGUUCAUGGAUUCUAUUGUUGGCUAUGAUAAAUUGCUGGCAAUGAAUUUGAAUGAAUAUGAUGGUUUCUUCUGCUCGAAAGGUGGGACAUUGGCAAAUAACCAACUAAGUCAUUCUUUAGAAUUCCAGUUCAAACUCUGCAUUGGCCACUGGUAAACUAACUUUUGUCAGACCGCCAAUGCUAGCGUGCAGUCAUUGAUAAUGUGUAGUCAUGUUUCAAUUUGAUUAUGGCACAAAUUGCAAUAUGGUUCGUUUGUAACAUGUUUGUGAAAUAACAUCUAU